GUGCUCCCUCCCUUAGCACAUGUACUAAAAUUUUUUGGAACUAUACAGAGAAAAUUAGCAUGGGCCCUGCACAAGGACAACAUGCAAAUUCCGUAUUAAAAAGAUACACUG
rnacentral:snRNA from 1 species